rnacentral:tRNA from 1 species
GGUAGACGUAGCCUAACGGGAGAAGGCGUUCUUAGAAAGAGAAAGAUGCAGGUUCGAGUCCUGCCGUCCACCU